UUUCUACAGCACGUUCAUCGGCGUAGAGUAAGUCGGCACCUACGGUGAGUCAGCGACGCGUAACUGAUGGUAAACGGGUCCAUAGUCCCGUACCGAUGUGUAGUGCGAUGUGGGGACGAAGAAGGCUAGCUCAGCCAACUGUUGGAAAUGUUGGUUCAAGCCUGUCGUCAUGCGUGGUAGGCAAAUCCGCCGGGCUAAGAUGAGAGGUGAUAACGGGUCUGCUUGCAGACGAAGUGAGUGCUACCCAGCUUCCAGGAAAAGCCACUAAGCUUCAGCUACACACGACCGUACCGCAAACCGACACUGGUGCGCGAGAUGAGUAUUCUAAGGCGCUUGAGAGAACUCAGGAGAAGGAACUCGGCAAAUUGACACCGUAACUUCGGGAGAAUUUGUGCCCUCAGUAAGUGCUGUUGAACAAAUGGAGCUAAACGAGGUUGCAAAGAAUAGGUGGCUGCGACUGUUUAAUAAAAACACAGCACUCUGCAAACACGAAAGUGUACGUAUAGGGUGUGACGCCUGCCCGGUGCUGGAAGAUUAAAUGAUGGUUUGCAAGCUCUUGAUUGAAGUCCCAGUAAACGGCGGCCGUAACUA
rnacentral:rRNA from 1 species